AAAAAGACAAACCCUGGUUUCCGUGUCCAAUAUUUGACCGUCCGUCUUAUUUAAAAAAAAUUAUGAAAAAAAUUAAAAAGAUAAGUCACGCAUAAAGUAUUAAUCAUGUUUUAUCAUCUAACAACAAUGAAAAUACUAAUUAUAAAAAAAAUCAUAUAAGACGGAUAGUCAAACGUUGGCACGGAAAUCCAGGGUUUGCCUUUUU
rnacentral:pre_miRNA from 1 species